ensembl:lncRNA
AUUAUGUGUGGCCUGUUACUUUUGCAUUUGAAAGAUCUUUGGUCAAGGGAAUAAGGCUGAUAUAUUUUGCCUUCUCUGUCUCUACCAGGGAAUCUUAAAUGAUUCUGGGUUGGAGCCAAAAAUCAGUGCUGGAAAACAGUAAGCGCUGUAUGGUUGUCUGUGUUUCAGAUUUUUUGUUAAUAAUUGAAGGGAGAUUAGUUUCAUCACGAUGGCCAUUAGCUUGAUGACAUACUGUAGCUCACUUCAUGCAACCCAUACUCAUAAUCUUCCUCAAGCAAAUGCACGAUAAAGAAAUGUAGGAGUAGUGCUUGGUAUCUGUCAAACCUAUGUACAAGCAUAGUCUCUUAGGCGUGGGCAAAAUUACUCCAUUUGGAUGGAAAAGACAGCCUUAGGAACUGAGAAGUCUCAUCUUCACAAAACGCUCCCACAUGUGAGAUUGCAGAAGUGGUAAACUUUGAAGUGAGUGCUGCAACUGUUGGAAAGUAGCCCUUUGUGUCCUACCAGAAGGGAGGCCUGUCUGCUCGUGAGGAAAGGCAACUGGUGGAAGUUCAGAGAAAAAACAUUCUGAUUUCAGAAGGCAUAACUGAGCUCUGAAGCAGAGGCAGCUACUGAAGCAGAGGCAGCUACAAUUGCAGUGUCAUGAAGAGCAUAGGGAAACACUGGGCUGCAUUUGCGUUUCAUGUCGUCACCACCACAUGUGGGAAGAGGAAGUUGGGCUACAACUCUGACAUGCUUUCAUUUGUUGUUUUCCUCAUCUUCAGCAAAGUCACCCCAAUGUGAGUGCUUAUAACCUGUGUGAUGGUUGCCGCUUCACUGAGACUCCUCUGGGCAAUGUGUGUUGGCUGCUUAGUAGCCACAGAUUCCAAUAAGAUAACAGUCACCCAAACACCAACGGAAAUGCACCUAUCUAUUGGAGACUCCACUGAAAUAGCCUGUAUUUGGGAAAAAUCAGUUAAGAGAUAUAGAAUCAUCUGGUAUCUUGUUAAUAAAGAGAAUGUUACCAAAACUGUAUCAUCGAAUCUUAUCUAUGUACACAACGUCACCCAUGAAAACAAGGAUGUCCUAGCGAUUAAAGCUGCAACUGCAAAUGACACUGGGUUUUACUACUGUGAGAUAAUUAUUGAAAUACCUUUCUGUAAAAAAGUGUAUGGAAACGGAACAACGCUGGUCGUUGAAGAGCAAGAAGCGCAGUCAUUGGAGAAGAAAGUGUCAGCAGUUUGGGCCAUCAUUCCCAUCAUUCCUUUCUUAGUGGCAAUGGGAAGCUUAUAUUUUUGCUACAAAAAGAAACAGAAGUCAACAUUUUCUGGUUCUGCCCAGCUUCCUGCACCAGAAAGAGAGUAUCAGGAGGAGCAGAUACUUGAGGUGGCAGAAAUUUAUGGAAGAGCUGAAUCCACCAGCGAAGAAGCUGGAUGGCCCAGAAGAACAACUGAAUACCGCUCGGUUUGCUGGUUUACUGCAUCAGAAAGCAUCCACCUGGAAGGAACAAUGUGGCAGAUUAUUUUUUUAGAAAUAUCGAAGCUGAAAGAUUAA